CGCGUCAUCUCUACUCUCCGCCCUCACCCUCACGUAGCGAGGGGUGGAGUCGGGGCACCAUCGCAAGGGCCGGCCAGGGCAUGCGGGCAAAAUGCACGUCGCACCAUGCGCAAGGCCUUUGGUCGGCCUGCGCCGCCACGCACGCAUUCACCACGGCGGCGACUAUCCUAGGAACCCUAGCCACCACCGCCCUUCUGUUGGCGUUUCUUAGCGAAACCACUAAAGAUAGAGUUUGAGUCCAUCCCUAAUGAUAACACUAGAAAUGUUCUUGGCAUAUCCUAACCACCAUCACUUCAGAAUGAUAACCCAAGGCUCUUUACGGCGCGGGCCUAGGCAGUGCAAUCUGGUACUGAUGAUUAGUAAUGCCAGAUUGUCCUUCCUAACCAUCAUUACUUACGAUAUGCAAAGCUGUGGCCCGGCGCCGGGUGAGUGCACAAGGAUUACAAUCUUAAGUAAAGGUACUUAGGUACGCUAAUCGAUAGCUCAGUAUGAAAUAAGAAUAACUCUACAAGCGCACAGAACUAUCAUUGUAGCAUUUCAACCCGUAAAUGGGUGUCGUAUUUAUAAUUCCCGUAGGAAGGCAUUUAUAUCUAGUAUGGUUAUAACAUGAUUACUUAUUAAAAUGCAUGGUAGGCAUAGAGUAAACAGGGGUAAGAUAUGAUAUUUGGAGAUAGUGGACACACAUCUGGGUCAUCCUCAAGGAUAAAGAUAAAAUAAAGAAUAAAAGAAUAUAACUACUGAGCAGGCAUGGUUCGUAUAUAACUGUGCUAAGAAUUGUUAGUAAAUCAUCUAACUAGCAUGUCUAGAGAUAGGAUCAGGUUUGAGACCAUAGGGAGAUCCCCAUAGCUGGUCUGCCAGUAAAUAGAGACUUUACAUGACUCCUACCGUAUAUCCGAACGUGGGGGAAUACGAAGGAUGACAGGGCUGUCACCACCCUGCCACCUACCGCUCUGCCCGUGGGAUACCCGCAUAUCCACUGAUCACCGCAUACCUGAAUACCAUGUUCAUGUAUUUGGAAACAACUCUUAACCCCUGCGGGCCCCAACCCUUCGGAUUGAUAGUCUAGGUUAAGAGCAACCGGAACGGCCCAGUGAACCAUCAUCUCAUCCCUAAUUCUACUUCUAUUCAUAUAAGUUAGAUGAAUGAUGAAGAACAGGGAUGAAUAUAUCAAGGACAUAGCACAAGAACUAAGAACUAGUUCGUAUACUAUGAACAUGAUAUAGACAUAACUAUACUCUAGUUCAUAAGCACAAUUAUACAAAGAUAACAAGAACUUGCUCAUGGAAGAAGACUGAUUAUGAUUCAUACCAAGAGGAUCCUUUCUUCCUAGGAGACAAGCUAUCCUUGGUAGCUCUUCCCUUGCUCUACUACUAGUCUAAUACUAAAGAUACAAGUGAGAGGUGUGAGGAAAUGUAGACUCCAAAUGAUGUGUGUUUUACAAAUGAGGGGGAGCCAUCUAUUUAUAGCCCAACUAGGACGGUUCGGGGGAUCUAAAUAUGGUAGUAGGUGAAACCAUCCUAUGCAUGGCGGCAUGCAACUGCCAGAGAAAGGUGGGGCCGGUUUGCCGCCACCAAGGUUGCGCCCGCAACCAGGUGCACCCGCAACCUGGUGGGACCCACCUAGCCACCGCCUUCGAGUGGCUUGCUCCCUGCUGGACCUCCUUUGCUGCUUCAGUUAUGAUUGGGUCCAGCUCGAUGUUGAAGGUGAGCUUCUUAUUUAUUUUUGAUUGCGCACUUGUAAAUUCGUCUUUUGCGGUUUCUUUAUUUUAUUGUUUUCUUCCACUUGUCACAUUAUAAAUCCUGCAAAACAAAAUAUCAUGGUACAAGUGGAACUAUGUCAAUAGCAAAAGCAUAUGUGAUUUAAAUAUGUUUAUUCCUCUUCUUUUUAGUCUAAGUUGGCAGUAUAAAAUCCUCCAUAGUGACUGCCAACAAGACCCCCAAGCUUAACUUUUGCUCGUCCCGAGCAAAUAGUUAAGUAUGGUUGUUGAUGAGGAGUUGCUACUAUGCCGAUAUAAUUCAGGAGUUUCAUGACUAUAACAAAGCAUUCAUUCGCAAUUUAAAUAAGUUGGCAUACUAUCCACUCUUUACCUUAAUUUCCCAUGGGGCUUUUAGCUUCUCCAAAUUAUUGGGUGGUUGCAAGAUAGAACAGUUGUAACAGACUCACCAAUCAUUCAUCUUUUGAUAGACUAUCAAUCCGGAGGUUUUUUAUAAGUUUUGCAAAAUAAAUGAGUUCCUCGAAUGAUUCUCUCAAUCGCUCAAUGUGUAUAAUCCUUACCAAAGGCAUUAUGUGAUUGCCUUUAAACCUUACCACUAAGGCUGAGAGUGGAGUUUUGGGUAGGUAUAAAGGUGGGCGUACUUACGGCACUUGUAUUGCUGAGUCAAAGCACGGACCAUGAGGAGAUACAAAUCAUACACCUUGAUUGAGAUGUGCAAGUGUGUGGAGUAUGAGGAAUUGGUGGAAAUCCUAAUUCUAAAUAUUUUUGGUCACUCCUUUGCAUCAUGACUCUCUUUUAUUUGGAGGAUAAGAGAGAGAGGAAGAGGAAAACAUAUGAGCUCUAUCUCUUAAUAAAUUUUUUUCAUGACGAGGAAAAUAUUAAUUUUCUUUCUUUCCCGUCUAUGCCUUUUUGGCUUUUCCCUUUGGAUAUAUAUUUUUUUUCAACUAUAGCCCAUAUGUCUUGAUGAAUGGAAUCAGAGAAAUUUAAAGAGAUGUCAUGAGGACAAAAAGUAAGGAGUGAAUUUGGGGAUGCGCUAAUCUCAGGAUGAGAGUUUGGCAUUUUUAUUUGGUGGAAAGCUUAGGCACAACUCUCAGGAUAAGAGUUGGCAAAAAAAAUUGGUGGAUGGAAGGGUGCAUGUUGUGCGCGACUUCUCAGUGUAAGAGUCGGCUUUAUUUGGUGGGUGUAAGUGAAUCUCAAUCAUGGGUGAAUGACCAUAAUCUCACUCUAGGAUCUCAGAGAUUUGACCUGACUCAAAGUUCCGCAAGCCGCAUAUGACUAAAGGUUUUAAGAACUGAGUAACAAGUCAUCUGGCCUUGGUAGGUAUUUGUUGAUGGUCCUUAAUGCUCACAUUUAACCGUCAACUAAUGAUGAAAAAGGAUCCAAAUACAACCGACACCUAGACUUAGGGUUUCAUCUAACAGAUUUACACGAGUUUUGGUGUUUGUCUAUUUCUGCAGGGGGUUAUCAGGAAAUAUGAAGGAAAAGCCCACACGUCGGGUUUACAUAAGAGAAUUAAUGUGUCCGGUAAUUUUCCAUAAUCAGGAAGACUCUAGAAGCAACUCGACCGAAGCGGAGCCGAGACGGACCUUGGACCAGGGCGCCCGCCCUUGAUCCUAGGGUGCCCGCCCUGGUACAAGCACCAAUCACAGAAUGGAGUACACCAUUACAAAGAUCUCAUCGAACUGAUCGAAAUGCAUAUAUUAUUUGCUAUAUUCGGAGUUCGGAAUCAAGAGAUAUUAAUAAAAGAAGGACUCGACAUAAAAGAGCUGCGGGAUUAAUUGGGCCCAAAUUUUGGUUCAUUAAGGCCUAUGUGCAUUUUAAUGAGAUAUGAUGGAAAGUUUAGUACCACAUCGCCUGCUGAACCAAAAACGCACAAAGGAAGAGGACUAUAUAAGCAAGGCCCCUGGCCCCUAGAGGAGAAGAUAUCAUUAUAGAGUUGAGAAGUGCCCUCGAAGGAUAACCUUUCCUCUAUAGAGAAUUAGGGCUAGACAUUCCAAUGUAGUAGAUUAGUUCUAGUCGGGAGUUAGGGAGAGCGGAGCUGCGCUCCAGUUCUGGAGAAGUCUUCAGAGUUUUGGUAUGUCUUUAUAUUUAUUGUAAGACUUAUGCUUUAAUAUAUUUAUCUUCUCUAUUUACUUUUAUGCCUUUAUUAUUAUCGAGUAGUGUAGUUGUUAUAUUUUGGCAUAGGAUCUCCGUUCGCAUUGAGUGCUCUAGUUAUUCAUGGUAAUUAGAGUAGUAAUCGUUAGUGUAGACGUGGUGUCUAUACUAGAGGUUACCUGAGGUUACACCCAGUCCUACGGAUUGUUGUGGUAGCUCUAGGGUAGUGACAGCCCUAACGGUCGACGUAUUCCACCUCGUUCGGAUCGGUGUUUGUAGGACCGUAGUCAGAGCUUCCCAGCCCCCUUCUCAUCUCUUUCUGUGGUUGGUGUUCUGAUGUCCCAAAGUGCUAAUAUGUGAUUGCUAUAUCAAUUCAUUCUUUGUUAUCAUAGAACUGAAGUAAUAGAGAAGUAUACAGGAACCCAGAUCUCUCCCGUUGUCCUCCCGCUAUGGCUAUCUACUCAUUUAUCAUAGAAUUCUCACCUUUAUAUUAUUACCUAUCAUAUAUCAUUUACCCCUAUUUUAGUCUAGUUGGUUUAUUAAAUUAGUAGAUGCAUGGUAAGUUAUAAGAUUCUUUGACCUUAGCUUCCCAGUGGUAAAAUAUAAAUAACGAUACCUGGAAUACUUCCGAUAAAAUGCUACGAUGAUGUUUUGUGCGCUUGCGGAAUUUUUCUUAUUCUUAUUGCACUUAACGAAUGUCAACAGUAUUUCAUAAUCAUUGAGGAACCCUUUGUUUUAAAUUUUUGAAAAGAAAAUUUUGAAUGUCAAGUUUCUCUUAAGACAAAGUCAUAGCAAAAUCUAUUUGUACCAUAUCAUGUCUAGCAACAACUUAUAAAAGGAUCAUGCAUUCACAACCCACAAGAUUUCAAGUUUUCAGAAUAGGACAUUUUUAGCCAACAAACUUAAAUCUUGAUGAAUACUAAGUUAUAACUUAGACACUAAAGAAUUAUAGACAGAGCAACUAUUCAUCAUUUCAGCAGAAGAGCAACUAGCAUAUUAAAACACAUAUGAGAGAGGAAUUUAUAUAUAUAUAUAUAAAGAAAAGAGUGCUGAAAAUUAAAUACUAAAAUUGAAGUGCAAGAAAAUAAGAUACAUGUUACCUCUAUGAGGGUUCUCCCCCAAGCUAGCUUAUUGUUGUGGACCCUGAAAAAAUCCAAUAGACCGUAGCAAUGCCAACUGCUCCUCGUGCCGUCGACGGUUUGCGUCCUCUAGGUCCACGAAGCUCUACUGGGUCUAGUGAUGCCACUAGGUGGAAGUCUAGAUGUGGGCAUUCAGCGUACCCUGGAUCUGUCUUUGCUGGAGCUCCAGUCCACCCAUGCGAGUGUUAAGGGAGUCUAGGGUGACCUGAGGGCGAAUAGGAGGUGGCAUGUCUUCUUCAUCUAGGGUGUGCUCCUGAUGUGGUUGCCCAGAUCCUCCUGCCUCGUGUGAAUGCUGUCCCCUAGAGCCUCCUGCUCCGUACAUCUCCUGCCAGCCCGAGCCUCCUGCCUCAUAUGGUGAAGGAACAUACCCCAUACCAUAACCAUACACAGGGGUGAACCUAGGUGUGGUCAUAGUUGGGGACCAUCCCCUCUCUGGUGCAGCUGGUGCUAGCGUAGGCUGGGUUGGUUGAGCUUGUUGUGCUACCUCCUCUUGCCUCAUCCUGCGUGAUUCCCUACGAGAAGUAGAACUCCUACGAGCUUCUUCUUUCUCAACAAGCUCGAAGGUGAGAGAUGGGCAAGUAUAUAAAGCGAGAUCUGGGUUAGGUAACGGAAUCUCGUUUAUAUAUCCCGGAAAAUAAAACACAAACCCAUUUCCGGAUGCAUUGCGCUUGAUCACAUGGGCUUGUGCCAGAUAACACUCAUUAAUCAUGAAGUGAGGAGAGGUAAGGUAAACAAUAGAAUUAGCAGCCUGUGGAUUAACACUAGCAGCAAACGAGUGAUGAGUGAAGUGCACAAGAUAGGUGUGGCAGUUUUAAAAGAAUACAGCCAAUGCUUAACAAUUUCAUAAAUCGGUGCAACUUUGAUUUUCUUAAGCAUGGCAUAAAGCAUCUUCAACUCAAGAUCCAAAACCAGAUGGGUAUCAUCCCUAGAGAAAAAAGAACAAGCAAGCCACUUAUGCAAAAGCCUAAGUGUGGGAUGAUGGAUGUUGUUAGCAUUGGGUUGGAAUUUUCCCACAAUGUUCUGUCCCGAGAUCAGGUGCCAGAAACUAUGAUGAUUAUAACCAGAGAGGGAAAAAUCCAAAUUGAUAGAGCAGUGCGCAUUAAAGCCUAAGUGUGCCGCCACAUCUUUCUAGAAGAGAGAGUACUCAAUGCCAAAGCAACAUAAAGAAAUACCAUUGUCGACGAUUUGCAGAGUGCCCAAAAAUUGGAUAGUCAGAAGACGUGAUCCAAGCUCAUGAACGGGGGCAACUCGGCUCCAACCAACAUGCUCGAAAACGGUAUUAAAUUCUACAUCCAUACCUAUCUGUUUGAGGAAGACGGGGUCCAAAGUCGGCGAGUGUAGGAAUACGCGUUCCUUCAGGAGCUCGUAGGCCUGCUUCUCCCGAUCACUCUCGAAGUCGAUGAAGGGGGCGUCGACUUCAUUGAUGGCGUGGCCGGUGAGCGUCUCCCCUUCAUCUUGAGAUGGUUGGCCCUCUUGUGUAGGAGCACUCGAGCUGGAUCCCCUGCGCGAGCGACGACCUCUCCGGAGUAGCCCGGAAACUCGAUCACCGAUUCCACUCCUGGUGGGUAGCUAGCACUUUGAGCUUGAGCAAGAGGUUGUGCAGAUUUUUCUUGCACAAAAGCUUAUGUGGACAAGAGUGAAGAAUGGUGGAGCAAGUGGAAGAUGGAGGGAGUGAAGAAAAUAUGAAUGUGAGAGGGGUGAGGUGCUCCACCCGGGAUCCUCUCUAUUUAUAGAGCUGAUCGCAGGCGCGGGAGCCCCCUCCACAACGGUCACUAGCCGUUGCCACAAGGCGGCAGCCAGUAGCCGUUGGGCAGGGUGCGGCCGCAACCAGGUGCGCCCGCAACCUGGUGGGCCCCACUCUGCCUCCCCUUUUGGCAGUGCCCUCCAACGACUACUCCAAGGGAGUAGUCGGUUGCUGAUGGGUCUGGUUCGAAAACUUGCUCCAGAUUUUGAUUUUCCACAAAUUUAUUCCAAACUUUUUAUUUUUUUAAAAAAAAUAAAAAUAAGAUUUGAAAAUCUAAAAGCCUUUAAAAACAAGAAAUGAUUUUUAUAAGAUUUUUGGAGAAAUUUUAUUUUAGACUAAAACAAGGAAUUUUAUAAAAUGAGAGAGAGGUAGAAAAUAAAAUAUUUUUUAUAUACUUUUUAUAAACAUAAAAACUUUCUUCUCCUUUUUUUCAAUGAGGAUUAGAAUAAAAUACCUGAGUGGGGGCACCUCCCCCAAGCUUGGAUGAUAGUGCGGCCCUAUCAGAUACAAAUUCUUUCCUUAUAUAUAUAUAUAUAUAUAUAUAUAUAUAUAUAUAUAUAUAUAUAUAUAUAUAUAUAUAUAUAUGUUUUUUUAUAAAUACCGAAGACCUUUCGGCAAGGGCACAACGUUUAUAGUCCGUUGGCGAGACUCUUCUUCCUUCGUUGCCCUGUAGCUGCAUGAACAAACUCAGAGAAAGGUUUGGGUUGCGUCGAAAUCUUCCCCGUGUCGUUGACAGGGAUAGAAGUAGCUAUCUGAGUCAUCUGUGUUUCUAUCAUUUUAUUAAAGCUAGCUUGAUUUUUAACAGACGAAGAAAGAGCUUCAAGCUUAGCAUUUAUAUUUUCAAAAACUUUGUCGUUAAAGGACAGCUUCUUGGUAAGAUUCUCAUUGAUCUUAGCUUGUUCCAGAACGAGAUCUUUUAAGGAAGGUUGAUUUGAAAAAGAGUUUGAGAAGUUAUUACCUUGUGGGAAGUGCUGAUUGUACCACCUACAGUUACCUUGCUGAGGUGUCCUAUACCCGUUGUUGACGAAUGAAGCUUCUUCUUGGGUCUCAGGGCAAUUGUUCCCUGAGUGGCCAUUGUCACCAUAGACUUCACACGAUGUGUGUGAGUCUAUGGCUUGGACGGUGUUGGUGUUGAUUAUAGUGUCGUCCAUCUUUUGUAACAGCAAGUCGAUUUUUGCGGCCAACAGCUCCGUCUCCUUGGCGGACUUUGAGCCUUUUUGUGUUUUCCUUCCUUCUCCCCAACUUUGGUUUGCCACCAUCUUCUCGAUGAGGGCAGUAGCUUGGGCAAUGGUGAGAGAAAGGAAGGCACCUCCAGCUACAGCAUCAAAGUGCCCCUUUGACAUGGCCGUAAGGCCUUCGUAGAAGUUCUGGAGCACUAGCCAGUCUUCCAUUCCAUGAUGAGGACAGGCCCGGAUGUACUCCUGGAGCCUUCCCAUGCUUGGGGGAUGGACUCUAGUGAAGACUACUGGAAGUUGGACAUCUUCCCCCUUAGAGCACUGGUUUUGCUCAUGGGGAAGAACUUAGCGAGGAAUGCCGCGGAACACUUGUUCCAGGUGUCUACAGCUUCCUUAUUCUGGUAGAACCACUGUUUCGCCUUUCCCGUGAGGGAGAAAGGAAACAGACAGAGCCUGAUGCUGUCUUGUGCGACGUCUUUGAUGACGAUAGUGUCGCACAACUCAAGGAAGUGUUGAAGGUGAGCGUUGGCAUCUUCGCUUGGCAAGCCACAGAACUGACUUGCCUGCACCAUCGAGAGGAGGCCAGUACGGAUCUCGAAGUUGCCAUUCCCAACAUUGACAGCGGGCCCAACAGGCACAUUGGCAACAACGGGAGUGGAGUAGUCACGGAGAGUCUUGGCUAUCGCGAAAAGUACGGUUGGUGCAGGGGUGAUUGGUUUGUCUGCCGGUGACGUAGCAGAGGACGAAGUGAUGAAUGCCUUUUUCUUCCUUACUAGUUUGUCUGGAUUGUUGAGGAAGUUGUCCGGCAGGUCAAAAGCAGUCAUACACUAUCCUGUUUUCAUUCCAAUAAAAAGACGGAAGAAAACAGCAAAGUUAGCCUGUUUAAACUAUGACUACCCAUGCUUAUUAUGCAAUCAAUGUAAUUUCCAGCAAGAUGUUAAAUGCCUUCCCCGGCAAUGGCGCCAGAAAUGUUUAUUGGCGUUUCUUAGCGAAACCACUAAAGAUAGAGUUUGAGCCAUCCCUAAUGAUAACACUAGAAACGUUCUUGGCAUAUCCUAACCACCAUCACUUCAGAAUGAUAACCCAAGGCUCUUUACGGCGCAGGCCUAGGCAGUGCAAUCUGGUACUGAUGAUUAGUAAUGUUAGAUUACUUACGAUAUGCAAAGCUGUGGUCCGACGCCGGGUGAGUGCACAAGGAUUACAAUCUUAAGUAAAGGUACUUAGGUACGCCAAUCGAUAGCUCAGUAUGAAAUAAGAAUAACUCUACAAGCGCACAGAACUAUCAUUGUAGCAUUUCACCCCGUAAAUGGGUGUCGUAUUUAUAAUUCCCGUAGGAAGGCAUUUAUAUCUAGCAUGGUUAUAACAUGGUUACUUAUUAAAAUGCAUGGUAGGUAUAGAGUAAACAGGGGUAAGAUAUGAUAUUUGGAGAUAGUGGACACACAUCUGGGUCAUCCUCAAGGAUAAAAGAUAAAAUAAAGAAUAAAAGAAUAUAACUACUGAGCAGGCAUGGUUCGUAUAUAACUGUGCUAAGAACUGUUAGUAAGUCAUCUAACUAGCAUGUCUAGAGAUAGGAUCAAGUUUGAGAUGAUAGGGAGAUCCCCAAAGCUGGUCUGCCAGUCAAUAGAGACUUUACAUGACUCCUACCGAAUAUCCGAACGUGGGGGAAUACGAAGGAUGACAGGGCUGUCACCACCCUGCCACCUACCCCUCUGCCCGUGGGAUACCCGCAUAUCCACUGAUCUCCGCAUACGUGAACACCAUGUUCACGUAUUUGGAAACAACUCUUAACCCCCGCGGGCCCCAACCCUUCGGAUUGACAGGCUAGGUUAAGAGCAACCGGAACGGCCCAGUGAACCAUCAUCUCAUCCCUAAUUUUACUUCUAUUCAUAUAAGUUAGAUGAACGAUGAAGAAUAGGGAUGAAUGUAUCAAGGACAUAGCGCAAGAACUAAGAACUAGUUCAUAUACUAUGAACAUGAUAUAGAUAUAACUAUACUCUAGUUCAUAAGUACAAUUAUACAAAGAUAACAAGAACUUGCUCAUGGAAGAAGACUGAUUAUGAUUCAUACCAAGAGGAUCCUUUCUUCCUAGGAGACAAGCUCUCCUUGGUAGCUCUUGCCUUGCUCUACUACUAGUCUAAUACUAAAGAUACAAGUGAGAGGUGUGAGGAAAUGUAGACUCCAAAUGAUGUGUGUUUUACAAAUGAGGGGGAGCCAUCUAUUUAUAGCCCAACUAGGACAGUUCGGGGGAUCUAAAUAUGGUAGUAGGUGAAACCGUCCUUUGCAUGGCGGCAUGCAACCGCUAGAGAAAGGUGGGGCCGGUUUGCCGCCACCAAGGUUGCGCCCGCAACCUGGUGGGCCCCACCUGGCCACCACCUUCGCGUGGCUUGCUCCCUGCUGGACCUCCUUUGCUGCUUCAGUUACGAUUGGGUCCAGUUCGAUGUUGAAGGUGGGCUUCUCAUUUAUUUUUGAUUGCGCACUUGUGAAUUCGUCUUUUGCGCUUUAUUUAUUUUAUUGUUUUCUUCCACUUGUCACAUUAUAAAUCUUGCAAAACAAAAUACCAUGGUACAAGUGGAACUAUGUCAAUAGCAAAAGCAUAUGUGAUUUAAAUAUGUUUAUUCCUCUUCUUUUUAGUCUAAGUUGGCACUAUAAAAUCAUUCAUAGUGACUGCCAACACCUUCCCAAUUGGCUCCCCUGGCUGGCCUUGUGGCUGGGGCGCGUCCCCUAGCUGCGGGUAUAGCUGCCGGUGGCGCGGCCGCCUCCUCCGCGCUAUAGGCCGACGAGGGAGAACCUCAAGCCAAUAUGUGUCGACAUCGAGGUGGACGGCCAGCGCUACAGAGACACUUUCACCUGGAACCCGCAAGGUACCUGACCUCAUCCGCUCCUCACUUCAUUCAUCUCCGGUUCGCGUCACGUUCUCGCUCGCUGUGUGGAUUGAUUCGCUUCUUCCUUGCGGCUAGCCAGCAGAUCCCAACUCAGGAGAUCAUUAGCUUGGCCAAGUAGAUGGCCAAGGACCUCAAGCCGCCAUCCAAUUUUGUCCCAAGAUGUCAGAAAAUGCUGACAUCACAUUUAUGCAGUUGUGCCUAUCUAAUUGAGCUGCUGACCGUAUAGAGGUUGGGAUCUGGACACACAGAGGUUGAGUGCACAUCCAAUUUGUGACAGCAGAAACUUCAAUUCGUGGUAUUUUA
rnacentral:lncRNA from 1 species